rnacentral:rRNA from 1 species
GGGUUGUGAGGUUAAGCGACUAAGCGUACACGGUGGAUGCCCUGGCAGUCAGAGGCGAUGAAGGACGUGUAACUGAAUCCAUAGGUUAAUGAGGCGAACCGGGGGAACUGAAACAUCUAAGUAYCCCGAGGAAAAGAAAUCAACCGAGAUUCCCCCAGUAGCGGCGAGCGAACGGGGAGSAGCCCAGAGCCUGAAUCAGUGUGUGUGUUAGUGGAAGCGUCUGGAAAGGCGCGCGAUACAGGGUGACAGCCCCGUACACAAAAAUGCACAUAYUGUGAGCUCGAUGAGUAGGGCGGGACACGUGGUAUCCUGUCUGAAUAUGGGGGGACCAUCCUCCAAGGCUAAAUACUCCUGACUGACCGAUAGUGAACCAGUACCGUGAGGGAAAGGCGAAAAGAACCCCGGCGAGGGGAGUGAAAAAGAACCUGAAACCGUGUACGUACAAGCAGUGGGAGCCUCUUUUAUGGGGUGACUGCGUACCUUUUGUAUAAUGGGUCAGCGACUUAUAUUCUGUAGCAAGGUUAACCGAAUAGGGGAGCCGAAGGGAAACCGAGUCUUAACUGGGCGUUAAGUUGCAGGGUAUAGACCCGAAACCCGGUGAUCUAGCCAUGGGCAGGUUGAAGGUUGGGUAACACUAACUGGAGGACCGAACCGACUAAUGUUGAAAAAUUAGCGGAUGACUUGUGGCUGGGGGUGAAAGGCCAAUCAAACCGGGAGAUAGCUGGUUCUCCCCGAAAGCUAUUUAGGUAGCGCCUCGUGAAYUCAUCUCCGGGGGUAGAGCACUGUUUCGGCAAGGGGGUCAUCCCGACUUACCAACCCGAUGCAAACUGCGAAUACCGGAGAAUGUUAUCACGGGAGACACACGGCGGGUGCUAACGUCCGUCGUGAAGAGGGAAACAACCCAGACCGCCAGCUAAGGUCCCAAAGUCAUGGUUAAGUGGGAAACGAUGUGGGAAGGCCCAGACAGCCAGGAUGUUGGCUUAGAAGCAGCCAUCAUUUAAAGAAAGCGUAAUAGCUCACUGGUCGAGUCGGCCUGCGCGGAAGAUGUAACGGGGCUAAACCAUGCACCGAAGCUGCGGCAGCGACACUAUGUGUUGUUGGGUAGGGGAGCGUUCUGUAAGCCUGUGAAGGUGURCUGUGAGGYAUGCUGGAGGUAUCAGAAGUGCGAAUGCUGACAUAAGUAACGAUAAAGCGGGUGAAAAGCCCGCUCGCCGGAAGACCAAGGGUUCCUGUCCAACGUUAAUCGGGGCAGGGUGAGUCGACCCCUAAGGCGAGGCCGAAAGGCGUAGUCGAUGGGAAACAGGUUAAUAUUCCUGUACUUGGUGUUACUGCGAAGGGGGGACGGAGAAGGCUAUGUUGGCCGGGCGACGGUUGUCCCGGUUUAAGCGUGUAGGCUGGUUUUCCAGGCAAAUCCGGAAAAUCAAGGCUGAGGCGUGAUGACGAGGCACUACGGUGCUGAAGCAACAAAUGCCCUGCUUCCAGGAAAAGCCUCUAAGCAUCAGGUAACAUCAAAUCGUACCCCAAACCGACACAGGUGGUCAGGUAGAGAAUACCAAGGCGCUUGAGAGAACUCGGGUGAAGGAACUAGGCAAAAUGGUGCCGUAACUUCGGGAGAAGGCACGCUGAUAUGUAGGUGAAGUCCCUCGCGGAUGGAGCUGAAAUCAGUCGAAGAUACCAGCUGGCUGCAACUGUUUAUUAAAAACACAGCACUGUGCAAACACGAAAGUGGACGUAUACGGUGUGACGCCUGCCCGGUGCCGGAAGGUUAAUUGAUGGGGUYAGCGCAAGCGAAGCUCUUGAUCGAAGCCCCGGUAAACGGCGGCCGUAACUAUAACGGUCCUAAGGUAGCGAAAUUCCUUGUCGGGUAAGUUCCGACCUGCACGAAUGGCGUAAUGAUGGCCAGGCUGUCUCCACCCGAGACUCAGUGAAAUUGAACUCGCUGUGAAGAUGCAGUGUACCCGCGGCAAGACGGAAAGACCCCGUGAACCUUUACUAUAGCUUGACACUGAACAUUGAGCCUUGAUGUGUAGGAUAGGUGGGAGGCUUAGAAGUGUGGACGCCAGUCUGCAUGGAGCCGACCUUGAAAUACCACCCUUUAAUGUUUGAUGUUCUAACGUKGACCCGUGAUCCGGGUUGCGGACAGUGUCUGGUGGGUAGUUUGACUGGGGCGGUCUCCUCCUAAAGAGUAACGGAGGAGCACGAAGGUUGGCUAAUCCUGGUCGGACAUCAGGAGGUUAGUGCAAUGGCAUAAGCCAGCUUGACUGCGAGCGUGACGGCGCGAGCAGGUGCGAAAGCAGGUCAUAGUGAUCCGGUGGUUCUGAAUGGAAGGGCCAUCGCUCAACGGAUAAAAGGUACUCCGGGGAUAACAGGCUGAUACCGCCCAAGAGUUCAUAUCGACGGCGGUGUUUGGCACCUCGAUGUCGGCUCAUCACAUCCUGGGGCUGAAGUAGGUCCCAAGGGUAUGGCUGUUCGCCAUUUAAAGUGGUACGCGAGCUGGGUUUAGAACGUCGUGAGACAGUUCGGUCCCUAUCUGCCGUGGGCGCUGGAGAAYUGAGGGGGGCUGCUCCUAGUACGAGAGGACCGGAGUGGACGCAUCACUGGUGUUCGGGUUGUCAUGCCAAUGGCACUGCCCGGUAGCUAAAUGCGGAAGAGAUAAGUGCUGAAAGCAUCUAAGCACGAAACUUGCCCCGAGAUGAGUUCUCCCUGACYCYUURAGRGUCCUGAAGGAACGUUGAAGACGACGACGUUGAUAGGCCGGGUGUGUAAGCGCAGCGAUGCGUUGAGCUAACCGGUACUAAUGAACCGUGAGGCUUAACCUUACAACGCCGAAGCUGUU